rnacentral:rRNA from 1 species
ACGGGUGAGUAACACGUGGGCAAUCUGCCCUUCACUCUGGGACAAGCCCUGGAAACGGGGUCUAAUACCGGAUAACACUCUGUCCCGCAUGGGACGGGGUUAAAAGCUCCGGCGGUGAAGGAUGAGCCCGCGGCCUAUCAGCUUGUUGGUGGGGUAAUGGCCUACCAAGGCGACGACGGGUAGCCGGCCUGAGAGGGCGACCGGCCACACUGGGACUGAGACACGGCCCAGACUCCUACGGGAGGCAGCAGUGGGGAAUAUUGCACAAUGGGCGAAAGCCUGAUGCAGCGACGCCGCGUGAGGGAUGACGGCCUUCGGGUUGUAAACCUCUUUCAGCAGGGAAGAAGCGAAAGUGACGGUACCUGCAGAAGAAGCGCCGGCUAACUACGUGCCAGCAGCCGCGGUAAUACGUAGGGCGCAAGCGUUGUCCGGAAUUAUUGGGCGUAAAGAGCUCGUAGGCGGCUUGUCACGUCGGAUGUGAAAGCCCGGGGCUUAACCCCGGGUCUGCAUUCGAUACGGGCUAGCUAGAGUGUGGUAGGGGAGAUCGGAAUUCCUGGUGUAGCGGUGAAAUGCGCAGAUAUCAGGAGGAACACCGGUGGCGAAGGCGGAUCUCUGGGCCAUUACUGACGCUGAGGAGCGAAAGCGUGGGGAGCGAACAGGAUUAGAUACCCUGGUAGUCCACGCCGUAAACGUUGGGAACUAGGUGUUGGCGACAUUCCACGUCGUCGGUGCCGCAGCUAACGCAUUAAGUUCCCCGCCUGGGGAGUACGGCCGCAAGGCUAAAACUCAAGGAAUUGACGG